rnacentral:rRNA from 1 species
ACGUUGGAUACUGGAGCGGGGAAGGAUUUCGUGCCAACGGCACUCGUACACGAGUUGUUCGGAUACUGAGCACAACGUUACACCGUUUUGUUAGGAAAGUGAAGGUGCGUCGGCGGCGUGCGUUUUUUUUUUGCUUUUUUUUUUUUUUUUAAAAAAAAAAAAAAAAAAGGCGCCCCCCCCUGGGCCUUUUUGAAAAGGGGAAAAAA